ACGAACGCUGGCGGCGUGCUUCACACAUGCAAGUCGAACGGAAAGGCCCUGCUUUUGUGGGGUGCUCGAGUGGCGAACGGGUGAGUAACACGUGAGUAACCUGCCCUUGACUUUGGGAUAACUUCAGGAAACUGGGGCUAAUACCGGAUAGGAGCUCCUGCUGCAUGGUGGGGGGUGGAAAGUUUCGGCGGUUGGGGAUGGACUCGCGGCUUAUCAGCUUGUUGGUGGGGUAGUGGCUUACCAAGGCUUUGACGGGUAGCCGGCCUGAGAGGGUGACCGGCCACAUUGGGACUGAGCUACGGCCCAGACUCCUACGGGAGGCAGCAGUGGGGAAUAUUGCACAAUGGGCGGAAGCCUGAUGCAGCAACGCCGCGUGCGGGAUGACGGCCUUCGGGUUGUAAACCGCUUUCGCCUGUGACGAAGCGUGAGUGACGGUAAUGGGUAAAGAAGCACCGGCUAACUACGUG
rnacentral:rRNA from 1 species